CUUAUCUGCUAGAGAAAUUGAAAACAACUUUUGCAGAUGCAGACCCUGAGUGUAUAAGCGUGUUGCAAGACAUACUUUGAAACACUUCGGAGAAAGUACAAUUUGUCUCAGAAAGAAAAGUCCCAGCUAAGAGAUGCCAUUAAAACAGGAGCUAAAAACCGACAAAGGAAAAGACGGUUGCUGGAUUCCAGGUCCAAGGUUGUUCAAACCGAUGCAGAGAGAGAGCUUUGGCAGACUGCAACAGUGGAGCUGAUGUCUGACGAGGAGGAUGCCAUUGUUGAUGGAAGGCCAGUGUGGAUUGUGAGGUCUCCAUCUCACAGGAACCCACAAUUGUCAGAACCUUGUGAGGAGCUUCAGCGCAGAUUGGAGGCAGACAUGCGCUACACUAUUUUGCAUCAUCAGCGUGUUAAGGCUGAUGGAAAUGGACAUGAUGGACCUUCCUUUCUUCAACUUUAACUAAACUGCACUGGUUUUGCAAUUUUAAUAAUUGCACCACAAACUG